AGCAGGAUGCAAUUGACAGUGAAACCAUAGGUGAUAGUUGAGCCACAAGAUGGAAGGAUCCCAGGCCUCUGAAUCACCAAUAAGGCAGUUAUCUGCUGACUCUUAGAUAGUUUGGUAUGCAUACGGUUUUCUCUUGGACGUUAGUCUUGGUACUCAUCACCUCUGAAGAACAACAAGCCGCAGUAUAGCAUGCCUUUGGAGGACUGGAAAAGGUAGCCAAGAGGUUUUAUGGUGUGUCUGUAAAGGGACUACGUGGUGUGAACUGCUGCCUCCUCACUCUGCUAAGGAUCAG